CAGUAAAUAUUUUAUUUAAAAUAUAAAUUUUGGAGAUUUAAGAAGUGUAUGAAUCAUUUUACUGA
rnacentral:tRNA from 1 species